rnacentral:rRNA from 1 species
UUUAAUGUUUGAUGUUCUAACGUUGGCCCGUUAUCCGGGUUGCGGACAGUGUCUGGUGGGUAGUUUGACUGGGGCGGUCUCCUCCUAAAGAGUAACGGAGGAGCACGAAGGUUGGCUAAUCCUGGUCGGACAUCAGGAGGUUAGUGCAAUGGCAUAAGCCAGCUUGACUGCGAGCGUGACGGCGCGAGCAGGUGCGAAAGCAGGUCAUAGUGAUCCGGUGGUUCUGAAUGGAAGGGCCAUCGCUCAACGGAUAAAAGGUACUCCGGGGAUAACAGGCUGAUACCGCCCAAGAGUUCAUAUCGACGGCGGUGUUUGGCACCUCGAUGUCGGCUCAUCACAUCCUGGGGCUGAAGUAGGUCCCAAGGGUAUGGCUGUUCGCCAUUUAAAGUGGUACGCGAGCUGGGUUUAGAACGUCGUGAGACAGUUCGGUCCCUAUCUGCCGUGGGCGCUGGAGAACUGAGGGGGGCUGCUCCUAGUACGAGAGGACCGGAGUGGACGCAUCACUGGUGUUCGGGUUGUCAUGCCAAUGGCACUGCCCGGUAGCUAAAUGCGGAAGAGAUAAGUGCUGAAAGCAUCUAAGCACGAAACUUGCCCCG